GCCGUUAUAUUGGACAAUGAUAGAAAUGGAAAUGAUCCACUCUGGGAAUCCAACCCAAAAUGGCCCUGGGCCCGGGUCACCCCUUACCUGUUGAGACGGAGCUCUAGGAUGCGGAUGCGAAACAUGACUUCCGAACAGUAAGAGAGUGUCAUAAAUGGAGACAACCAGGGUGUGAGCGGCCACCUCCUCCUCCCGGAGCUUGAGGAUAUCCAGAACCUUGAAGGAAA